AUGAACGCUAGCUACAGGCUUAACACAUGCAAGUCGAGGGGAAACGACAUCGAAAGCUUGCUUUUGAUGGGCGUCGACCGGCGCACGGGUGAGUAACGCGUAUCCAGCCUGCCCAUCACUUGGGAAUAACCUUGCGAAAGUAAGACUAAUACCCAAUGAUAUCCCACGAAGGCAUCGGAAUGGGAUUAAAGAUUUAUCGGUGAUGGAUGGGGAUGCGUCUGAUUAGCUUGUUGGCGGGGUAACGGCCCACCAAGGCAACGAUCAGUAGGGGUUCUGAGAGGAAGGUCCCCCACAUUGGAACUGAGACACGGUCCAAACUCCUACGGGAGGCAGCAGUGAGGAAUAUUGGUCAAUGGGCGAGAGCCUGAACCAGUCAAGUAGCGUGCAGGAAGACGGCCCUAUGGGUUGUAAACUGCUUUUAGAAGGGAAUAAAGUGGGUCACGUGUGACUUUUUGCAUGUACCUUAUGAAUAAGGACCGGCUAAUUCCGUG
rnacentral:rRNA from 1 species